rnacentral:rRNA from 1 species
UGCCAGCCGCCGCGGUAAUACGGAGGAUCCAAGCGUUAUCCGGAAUUAUUGGGUUUAAAGGGUCCGCAGGCUGUUUGUUAAGUCAGGGGUGAAAUCCUACCGCUCAACGGUAGAACUGCCUUUGAUACUGGCAAACUUGAGUUAUUGUGAAGUAGUUAGAAUUCAUAGUGUAGCGGUGGAAUGCGUAGAUAUUAUGAAGAAUACCAGUGGCGAAGGCGGCCUCCUGGAUCUGUACUGACACUGAGGUGCGAAAGCGUGGGUAGCGAACAGGAUUAGAUA